AGUAUUCUGCUAGCAGCAUUCAGAUGAAGACGUAGAACUCUCAACUCCUCCUGCGCCAUGCCUGCCUGGACACUGCCAUGUGCCCACCUUUAUGAUAAUGGACUGAACCUCUGAACCUGUCAAGAUGAAGAACUCUUGGCUCCUCCAGCACUAAGUCUGCCUACACACUGCCAUGUUUCCCACCAUGAUGGUGAUGGACUAGGUCUCUGUGAGUCAACCCCAACUAAAUGUCACCAUGGUCAUGGUGUCUCUUCAUAGCAAUAAAACGCUAAGACACCCAG
rnacentral:lncRNA from 1 species